rnacentral:rRNA from 1 species
CAGCCGCCGCGGUAAUACGUAGGGUGCAAGCGUUAAUCGGAAUUACUGGGCGUAAAGCGUGCGCAGGCGGUUCUAUAAGACAGAUGUGAAAUCCCCGGGCUCAACCUGGGAACUGCAUUUGUGACUGUAGAGCUGGAGUGCGGCAGAGGGGGAUGGAAUUCCGCGUGUAGCAGUGAAAUGCGUAGAUAUGCGGAGGAACACCGAUGGCGAAGGCAAUCCCCUGGGCCUGCACUGACGCUCAUGCACGAAAGCGUGGGGAGCAAACAGGAUUAGAUACCCCGGUAGUCCCUGUCUCUUAUAC